AACGAACGCUGGCGGCGUGCCUAAUACAUGCAAGUCGAACGAGAAAGUGGCUUCGGUCAUGAGUAAAGUGGCAGACGGGUGAGUAAUACAUAGAUAAUCUACCUCUAAGAUGGGGAUAACCUUCCGAAAGGAGGGCUAAUACCGAAUGAGACCGCAGUUACUACGGUAACAGGGGUCAAAGGAUGGCCUCUAUUUAUACGCUAUCGCUUAGAGAUGAGUUAUGCACCAUUAGCUUGUUGGUGAGGUAACGGCUCACCAAAGCUUUGAUGGUUAG
rnacentral:rRNA from 1 species